AUUGAACGCUGGUGGCAUGCUUUACACAUGCAAGUCGAACGGUAACAGGCCGCAAGGUGCUGACGAGUGGCGAACGGGUGCGUAAUGCAUCGGAACGUGCCCAGUCGUGGGGGAUAACUACUCGAAAGAGUAGCUAAUACCGCAUACGAUCUAUGGAUGAAAGCGGGGGACCGUAAGGCCUCGCGCGAUUGGAGCGGCCGAUGUCAGAUUAGGUAGUUGGUGGGGUAAAGGCUCACCAAGCCAACGAUCUGUAGCUGGUCUGAGAGGACGACCAGCCACACUGGGACUGAGACACGGCCCAGACUCCUACGGGAGGCAGCAGUGGGGAAUUUUGGACAAUGGGCGCAAGCCUGAUCCAGCAAUGCCGCGUGCAGGAAGAAGGCCUUCGGGUUGUAAACUGCUUUUGUACGGAACGAAACGGCUCUGGUUAAUACCCGGGGCUAAUGACGGUACCGUAAGAAUAAGCACCGGCUAACUACGUG
rnacentral:rRNA from 1 species